UACGUAGGGUGCGAGCGUUAAUCGGAAUUACUGGGCGUAAAGCGUGCGCAGGCGGUUCGUUGUGUCCGAUGUGAAAGCCCCGGGCUCAACUUGGGAAUGGCAUUGGAAACUGGCGGGCUGGAGUGUGGCAGAGGGGGGUGGAAUUCCACGUGUAGCAGUGAAAUGCGUAGAGAUGUGGAGGAACACCGAUGGCGAAAGCAGCCCCCUGGGCCAACACUGACGCUCAGGCACGAAAGCGUGGGGAGCAAACAGG
rnacentral:rRNA from 1 species